AAGGUACAGUAGGUGAUUGCUUGGGUUUUAAGACCUAAGAGGAAAGUCCGGGCUGCGAUGAAGCGAGGUUCCGUCUAACGGACGGCUGGGGUAACCCAAGGGAUAGUGCAACAGAGAGUAGACAGCCUUUAGAGAUAAAGGUGAUGGUGAAACGGUGGGGUAAGAGCCCACCAGCUUCUUAAGCAAUUAAGAAGGCUAUGUAAACCCAACUUGCAGCAAGAAUGGAUUGGUUUUGCUUCAUAUUUUUACCAUUCGCUAAAGCUUUAUAGCAAUAUAAAGAUUAGAUAAAUAAUCACCCUUAGACAGAACUCGGCUUAUGCUGUACCUUAUCU
rnacentral:RNase_P_RNA from 1 species